AUGGCUAAGUAUUUUUUGAUUAGUUCUCUUAACCAAAAGUUGAUGCAUUGGGUGUCUUGGAAGGAACUGGCUACACCCAAGUGUAAUGGUGGAAUGGGCUUCAGGGAUCUACAUCCGUUUAAUCUGGCUAUGUUGGGUAAACAUGGAUGGCGUUUUUUGACAAAUCCAAACUCGCUAUGCGCAAGAGUUCUAAAGGGUCGCUAUUUUCCAGAUUCAGACUUCAUGCAAGCAACAGCACCCAAGUCGGCCUCGGCUACAUGGAAGGCUAUCAUAGCGGGGAGAGAGGCUCUUGAGAUUGGUUUGAUUUCCCGAGUGGGGGAUGGCUCCACUAUAUCAGUGUGGGCUAAUAAAUGGACCCCGAACACCAUCUCCAUGACUCCAUCAGCGAGGCCACCAAACACACAUGUCGAGAAGGUGUCAGACUUAAUCGAUUCAGAUACUUGGACGUGGCGACAUGAUUUGAUUUGGAAGACUUUCGUUGCCUCGGACGCAGCUGUUAUUAUAAACAUUCCUAUUCGGCAAGGAGGGGGACCUGAUUUUCCUGCAUGGGCGGUUGAUAGAUCGGGCAACUACACUGUGAAGACGGCGUACCGAGCUCUAGUGACUCAGAAAGAGCGACUAGCUCUAGAGCACGGGACGGCUACCGGGACCUCAGAGGAUGAUAAACAGAUGUGGAAAGCCCUAUGGAAACUUAAUGUUAUUCCAAAAGUAAGAGUAUUCCGAUGGAGAGUACUUCGUGGCAUUCUCCCAGAUGAAUACACGCUCAAGAACCGCCAUAUUGCAGACGUUAGUAGCUGA
rnacentral:rRNA from 1 species